UCUAUUGCUUGAACUGAUUUGUGUGCUUGUUUUUACAGGUAUCAUAAGAUUUUAUUGGAGGAGUGAAAAUUAAAGGUGCGUCUUGGACACCUGAUAAAUACCAAGGGGAUUGGACACGCAUAUUUUCCAGGUAUUAUCUUUCUAUAUCAUUUACCCUCUUAUUUCAUACAUUUGCUAUGCUUUUAUUUUGAAACAUUAAGGACAAUGUUUGAUUUAGGUUCGGGGGUAAGGUUUAGAAGUUUUGUUUUG